AUUGAACGCUGGCGGAAUGCUUUACACAUGCAAGUCGAGCGGCAGCGCGGCCUUCGGGCUGGCGGCGAGCGGCGGACGGGCGAGUAAUGCAUCGGAACAUGCCCAGUCGCGGGGUUAACACGGAGAAAGUAGGGACAAUACCGCUAAUGCCCCGAGGGGGCAAGGGGGGGAAGCCAAGGACCUGCGGGAUUGGCGCGACCGAUGUCGGAUUAGCCAGUUGGGGGGGUAAAGGCCUACCAAGGCGACGAUCUGUAGCUGGUCUGAGAGGAUGAUCAGCCACACUGGGACUGAGACACGGCCCAGACUCCUACGGGAGGCAGCAGUGGGGAAUUUUGGACAAUGGGGGCAACCCUGAUCCAGCCAUUCCGCGUGAGUGAAGAAGGCCUUCGGGUUGUAAAGCUCUUUCGGCAGGAACGAAACGGUGGGCUCUAACAUAGUCCGCUAAUGACGGUACCUGAAGAAGAAGCACCGGCUAACUACGUG
rnacentral:rRNA from 1 species